rnacentral:tRNA from 1 species
GGUUGUGGCUCAGAGGUGGAGCGCUCACCUAGCAUGCGCGAGGCCCUGGGUUCAAUCCUCAGAAUCA